AGCGUUAUUCGGAUUCACUGGGCGUAAAGGGUGCGCAGGCGGCCAAGUGUGUUAGGCGUGAAAGCCCGGGGCUUAACCCCGGAAUUGCACCUAAAACUACAUGGCUAGAGCAUUGGAGAGGGUAGCAGAAUUCAUGGUGUAGCAGUGAAAUGCGUAGAUAUCAUGAGGAAUACCAGAGGCGAAGGCGGCUACCUGGACAAUUGCUGACGCUCAGGCACGAAAGCGUGGGGAGCAAAAGGG
rnacentral:rRNA from 1 species